rnacentral:rRNA from 1 species
GGGGAAGUUGGGGGCUGCCUAUACAUGCAGUCGAACGAGCUUCCGUUGAAUGACGUGCUUGCACUGAUUUCAACAAUGAAGCGAGUGGCGAACUGGUGAGUAACACGUGGGAAAUCUGCCCAGAAGCAGGGGAUAACACUUGGAAACAGGUGCUAAUACCGUAUAACAACAAAAUCCGCAUGGAUUUUGUUUGAAAGGUGGCUUCGGCUAUCACUUCUGGAUGAUCCCGCGGCGUAUUAGUUAGUUGGUGAGGUAAAGGCCCACCAAGACGAUGAUACGUAGCCGACCUGAGAGGGUAAUCGGCCACAUUGGGACUGAGACACGGCCCAAACUCCUACGGGAGGCAGCAGUAGGGAAUCUUCCACAAUGGACGAAAGUCUGAUGGAGCAAUGCCGCGUGAGUGAAGAAGGGUUUCGGCUCGUAAAACUCUGUUGUUAAAGAAGAACACCUUUGAGAGUAACUGUUCAAGGGUUGACGGUAUUUAACCAGAAAGCCACGGCUAACUACGUGCCAGCAGCCGCGGUAAUACGUAGGUGGCAAGCGUUGUCCGGAUUUAUUGGGCGUAAAGCGAGCGCAGGCGGUUUUUUAAGUCUGAUGUGAAAGCCUUCGGCUUAACCGGAGAAGUGCAUCGGAAACUGGGAGACUUGAGUGCAGAAGAGGACAGUGGAACUCCAUGUGUAGCGGUGGAAUGCGUAGAUAUAUGGAAGAACACCAGUGGCGAAGGCGGCUGUCUAGUCUGUAACUGACGCUGAGGCUCGAAAGCAUGGGUAGCGAACAGGAUUAGAUACCCUGGUAGUCCAUGCCGUAAACGAUGAGUGCUAAGUGUUGGAGGGUUUCCGCCCUUCAGUGCUGCAGCUAACGCAUUAAGCACUCCGCCUGGGGAGUACGACCGCAAGGUUGAAACU